CUAAUACCGCAUACGUCCUGAGGGAGAAAGUGGGGGAUCUUCGGACCUCACGCUAUCAGAUGAGCCCUAGGUCGGAUUAGCUAGUUGGUGGGGUAAAGGCCUACCAAGGCGACGAUCCGUAACUGGUCUGAGAGGAUGAUCAGUCACACUGGAACUGAGACACGGGUCCAGACUCCUACGGGAGGCAGCAGUGGGGAAUAUUGGACAAUGGGCGAAAGCCUGAUCCAGCCAUGCCGCGUGUGUGAAGAAGGUCUUCGGAUUGUUAAAGCACUUUAAGUUGGGAGGAAGGGCAGUAAGUUAAUACCUUGCUGUUUUGACGUUACCAACAGAAUAAGCACCGGCUAACUUCUUGCCAGCAGCCGGCGGUAAUACGAAGGGUGCAAGCGUUAAUCGGAAUUACUGGGCGUAAAGCGCGCGUAGGUGGUUCAGCAAGUUGGAUGUGAAAUCCCCGGGCUCAACCUUGGGAACUGCAUCCAAAACUACUGAGCUAGAGUACGGUAGAGGGUGGUGGAAUUUCCUGUGUAGCGGUGAAAUGCGUAGAUAUAGGAAGGAACACCAGUUGGCGAAGGCGACCACCUGGACUGAUACUGACACUGAGGUGCGAAAGCGUGGGGAGCAAACAGGAUUAGAUAC
rnacentral:rRNA from 1 species